AUUGAACGCUGGCGGCAGGCCUAACACAUGCAAGUCGAGCGGAUGAAGGGAGCUUGCUCCUGGAUUCAGCGGCGGACGGGUGAGUAAUGCCUAGGAAUCUGCCUGGUAGUGGGGGAUAACGUCCGGAAACGGGCGCUAAUACCGCAUACGUCCUGAGGGAGAAAGUGGGGGAUCUUCGGACCUCACGCUAUCAGAUGAGCCUAGGUCGGAUUAGCUAGUUGGUGGGGUAAAGGCCUACCAAGGCGACGAUCCGUAACUGGUCUGAGAGGAUGAUCAGUCACACCGGAACUGAGACACGGUCCAGACUCCUACGGGAGGCAGCAGUGGGGAAUAUUGGACAAUGGGCGAAAGCCUGGUCCAGCCAUGCCGCGUGUGUGAAGAAGGUCUUCGGAUUGUAAAGCACUUUAAGUUGGGAGGAAGGGCAGUAAGUUAAUACCUUGCUGUUUUGACGUUACCAACAGAAUAAGCACCGGCUAACUUCGUG
rnacentral:rRNA from 1 species